rnacentral:rRNA from 1 species
GUUAAGCGACUAAGCGUACACGGUGGAUGCCCUGGCAGUCAGAGGCGAUGAAGGACGUGCUAAUCUGCGAUAAGCGUCGGUAAGGUGAUAUGAACCGUUAUAACCGGCGAUUUCCGAAUGGGGAAACCCAGUGUGUUUCGACACACUAUCAUUAACUGAAUCCAUAGGUUAAUGAGGCGAACCGGGGGAACUGAAACAUCUAAGUACCCCGAGGAAAAGAAAUCAACCGAGAUUCCCCCAGUAGCGGCGAGCGAACGGGGAGCAGCCCAGAGCCUGAAUCAGUGUGUGUGUUAGUGGAAGCGUCUGGAAAGGCGCGCGAUACAGGGUGACAGCCCCGUACACAAAAAUGCACAUGCUGUGAGCUCGAUGAGUAGGGCGGGACACGUGGUAUCCUGUCUGAAUAUGGGGGGACCAUCCUCCAAGGCUAAAUACUCCUGACUGACCGAUAGUGAACCAGUACCGUGAG